GAAGCCUCCCGUGGCUGAAGAUCCCGACCGCGACCGUUACCCCGACCGCGACGCGACGCGGCGGUGACUGCUCCGGGGCGACCGAUCAUCGCCCCGAAACCGGGGCCGCCUAAGUCCGACAUGAGCUCCCCGGAUGAGGUGUCUGUUUGGGGAGCGGGUUUCGGCCCGGAGGGUGGGGAGCCGGCUGGCGUCCGCCCCGCGGGCCCCGGAGCCCAGCGGGGACCAGGCCCAGGCCCCGACGCGGGGCCACCACAGAGCGGCGAGGGCGAGGGCGGGGGCGGCUUCCGGGACCCCAAGGGCUUCGAGUCAGAGACGGAGGAGCUGGAGGCGGGAGGGCUGGUGCUCUGGGGCCGCGAAGGCCGACCUGGCUCCCCGGCCGACGACAAGGGCGUCGCCCUGGAUCUGGCCAACGAGUCUGCGGCGGCCAUCCUGCGGCAGCUGGCCGACCUGGACGUGCUGGGCGUCCGCAGAUCCCCGUCCCCCGAGAGCUGCGCCCCCGCCGCCGCCGCCGAAGUGUCAGCGGUGUGGGCCGGCCUCGAGGCGGGUGCCGGCAGUGGAGGCGCGUCCGCCCAGGGCUGUGGAGAAGCGCAGCAGGCUCUGGCCCGCUGUCUCCACCUCGGUGGGCCCGAGGCGGGCUGGGCCUGGCCGAACCGGAAGAGAGGCACUAAGAGUAGGUUGCCCUUGGCUGCCAGUCGCCAGCGGCCCCCCGCGGAAGGCCCGGUCGGGCUGCCUUCCGACCCCGAGUCCUCCGACGAGUUCGGUGAGAUACAGCUGAUGAGGGUGAGCAUUUACCCCAGGGGAGGAGGCCAGGCCCAGCCCUGCAGCCCCGAGGCUCCCGGGUUCACACUCCCGCACUUCCAAGUCAGGGAGAAUUUCCUCCACGUGCCAGGCGCUUUCCUGGCCCCUGCUCUGCGAGGGUUCACUUCGGUUGUGGAAAGGCAGGGCGUUGGAGAGCCGGACAUCUCUUCCCCUAAGAAAAUGCAAAGCAUCCUCUGGGGGAAGGAGGGAAGCAGGCCCAGCUACCCGGGGGCUGCUGUGGCUGCGGCUGCGGCGGCGGCGGCGGCUGCGGCGGCGGCGGCUGCUGCUGCGGGCGGCCUGCCCAGGGCCACUCCUAGGAAGAAGGGGGCCCAGGAGAAGAAAUCCCUCGGGGGAGCCUCCGCCCUCGCCCUGGGGAGAACCUUCCCUCCCUGGGGGCAGCGAGUCUCGGCAGCUCCCCUGGAACCGGCCACCUUCCCCCCGAUCGCUGGUGUUCCGCUGCUUGGGAGGUCCAGGAAGUAUUCCUUGGUCCCUUCGGGAACCAAGCAGUCCAAGCACGCGGGCGCUGGGAAGAAACCCGCCGCCAGGAGGGCAAGGGAGUCCGAGCUGGUGGUGGCUGGAGAAGAUAACGACCCAGACGGAGACCAGGUCCCAAGGGGCCAACUUCCAACACACAGGCCAGGGCCAUCUUGUCCGUACCUGCAUCAUGGGUAUCCCAGCAGCGGCGACCUCAGCACCAGAGCCCCCCACGUUCCAGGAGACUCAGAGCCCUCGGCCCUGAACCAGGUAGCCGUCAUGGCCAGAGGGCCUGCACCCUCAGGUGACCUGGAACCCCUUGACCAUCCCCCAAGACAUGAAAGGCAGCAGCAGCCGCCAGGGGCACAGGGCUGUCCUCGGGUAAUGCCAGAGGGCUCCUGGAAAUGCAGGCCCCAACUAGAUGGUGGGAUCUGGGUCCGGGUUACACGGACAUAUGUGGGGACCCCUCCCCGCUCCCAUCCACAUCCCAGGGAGCGGCGUGCCCCCUUUCCACGGAGGAGCUCUUGCCGGUCCAGCCGCCUGGCCUUGGGAUGUAGGGUCCGAGGGGCAGGGGAAGGAGUGAGGAGGCCAGAGUGUACUAAUCCUUUCUCUUCCUCUGGUGUCUGUGGGCCUAGUGCCUCCUGCUACAGAGAGAAAUCGACGACCUGAAGGAGCAGCUUGCCGCCAUGCGGUACCUGGCUGACAUGUUCCAGACCCUUUGAAGUUGAGCCCUGCAUCUUCAUGCAAGAGGAGCGGCUGGUGCCUUUGGGGCCCGGGAGGUGCUGUGGCCAAGCUCGGUCCCUCUUGUUCUGCCUCAGCCAGAGCUUCCUCUCCCUCUUGUUUUGCCCCUCCCCUGCCUCAGUGUCAUGGCAGUUUC